rnacentral:lncRNA from 1 species
CAGGGCACUUUCGGCGGCAGGUUCGGCGGCCGAAAGUCCCUCCAGAGCCGAAAGUCAGGCAGGUUCGGCGGCACCUUCGGCGGCCGAAACUCCCAGACAGAGACGAAACUCAUGCAUGUUCGGCGGCACCUUCGGCGGCCGAAAGUCCCAGACAAAGACGAAAGUCUCCCUUCGGGGGCAACUUCGGCAGCCGAAAGGCCUGCCUCACCAGCCAUGUUCGGCGGCCGAAAGUGCCUUCGGCUGCCGAACCUGGUUUCUGCCGAAGGGCAGAAACUUGGCUCCCAAAUGCAUUUUCGCCUCCAAACUCACCAAUCAUGCAUAUACCUCAGUUAAAUCAUGCAUACAAGUUCCUAGGGGCCUCAAAACAUCAAAUACCCCAACUACAACACUUCAAACACACAAAAACAACAUACAUUGUCCAAGACAUCAAGAUUAACCCAUAACUCCACAUAUAACCUAACAUGCAUUUCUACUCAUAAAACAACUUAAUGCUUGUUUCAAACACAUAACAAGGGUGGAUCCGAGCUUACCUCUUGAAGAAACGAGAGGAAAGGCGAUCCUAGCUUGGAGAUGGAGAGAUUGAGCUCUUUGAACCUCCAAGUACCCAAAACUUGCUCUUUACUCACAGAUCUUCAAAACAGAAGUUAAAACCCGU